CGUUUCAGAAUUUAUGAUCAGCAGCCUAACUAACUGCGCGGAAGUGCUCGAGUCCGAAUUGGAACCCAGGAACUAGGACGGUGUUGAUACUGAUUCUCGAUGCAAGAUCUUUGAUAAAACAUUCAACAGUGAGUCACAACUGCGAAAGAAUGUGAAAAAAAAACCCGGUUAUAAGUAAACAUUGUUUCCGUAACUUCGCGGACCAGUCACAGCUUCGAAGCCAUUUGGUGCGUCAUGCAUCUAUGUAUUUAUUGCGUUGCCAGCUUCGGGAAACGGUUGAUGCCAUGCAAACGAGCGGCCGUAAUCGGUAAUCGUUUCAACACAAAGAGUUUGCUGAGCACCCACCAAAAGAUUCAUACCGGGGAAUCGUACAUUUGUGCCUUCUGUAGCAAAAAUAUUACCCUUUUGUGGUAGCACACCAACGAAAAAUCAUUCGAAUGUCCCUACUGUCAGAAACGGUUCAACCAGAAUGGUGACCUUAUGAUACACAUUCGAAUCUAAACAGGCGUUACCCUACAUGUGUACCCAGUGCGAAAAGGUCUAUACCCGAGCCAGGGGUGUGAGGCGAGGGUAAACUUAGCGUUUACAAGCGUCAGCACACUGGAGAGAAAAAAGCCAAGAAGUAGAUCUGCCAGAAGGAGUUUGCCUGCAAGAAGAUAUUAUCUAGUGUUUCAAUCACCUCCCACACUCAAAACGUAACCUGUAUCGAUUGGUACUGCCACGAGCUAAAUAAAUUACCCAUGGAGAACAGCUCCUAAGCUGCUAUGCUGUGCUAUUUCUCACAAAAAUAGUGCAUCGUUGCAAAUAAUACAACAUUAGCAGCACAUUUUUUAAUAUCUUAUUGA